CCGCCCUUCAGUGCUGCAGCUAACGCAUUAAGCACUCCGCCUGGGGAGUACGGUCGCAAGACUGAAACUCAAAGGAAUUGACGGGGGCCCGCACAAGCGGUGGAGUAUGUGGUUUAAUUCGAAGCAACGCGAAGAACCUUACCAGGUCUUGACAUCUCCUGACCGCCCUGAAGACAGGGUCUUCCCUUCGGGGACAGGAUGACAGGUGGUGCAUGGUUGUCGUCAGCUCGUGUCGUGAGAUGUUGGGUUAAGUCCCGCAACGAGCGCAACCCUUGGUUCUAGUUGCCAGCAUUCAGUUGGGCACUCUAGAGCGACUGCCGGCGACAAGUCGGAGGAAGGUGGGGAUGACGUCAAAUCAUCAUGCCCCUUAUGACCUGGGCUACACACGUGCUACAAUGGAUGGUACAAAGGGCAGCGAAGCGGCGACGCAUGAGCGAAUCCCAGAAAACCAUUCUCAGUUCGGAUUGCAGGCUGCAACUCGCCUGCAUGAAGCCGGAAUCGCUAGUAAUCGCGGAUCAGCAUGCCGCGGUGAAUACGUUCCCGGGCCUUGUACACACCGCCCGUCACACCACGAGAGUUUGUAACACCCGAAGUCGGUGAGGUAACCGCAAGGAGCCAGCCGCCGAAGGUGGGACAGAUGAUUGGGGUGAAGGCGUAACAAGGUAGAGCUCUCAGUCAGUCAA
rnacentral:rRNA from 1 species